rnacentral:rRNA from 1 species
GUACUACUCUCAGAGUUUGAUCCUGGCUCAGGACGAACGCUGGCGGCGUGCCUAACACAUGCAAGUCGAACGGAGUAGAGAGCUUCGGUUUUCUGCUUAGUGGCGAACGGGUGAGUAACGCGUGAAGAACCUGCCUUUCAGUGGGGGACAACAGUUGGAAACGACUGCUAAUACCGCAUAAUGUCAUUUGGGGGCAUCCCCGAAUGACCAAAGAUUUAUUGCUGAAAGAUGGCUUCGCGUCUGAUUAGCUAGUUGGUGAGGUAACGGCCCACCAAGGCGACGAUCAGUAGCCGGUCUGAGAGGAUGAACGGCCACAUUGGGACUGAGAUACGGCCCAG